UGUGAGGUAUGCUGGAGGUAUCAGAAGUGCGAAUGCUGACAUAAGUAACGAUAAAGCGGGUGAAAAGCCCGCUCGCCGGAAGACCAAGGGUUCCUGUCCAACGUUAAUCGGGGCAGGGUGAGUCGACCCCUAAGGCGAGGCCGAAAGGCGUAGUCGAUGGGAAACAGGUUAAUAUUCCUGUACUUGGUGUUACUGCGAAGGGGGGACGGAGAAGGCUAUGUUGGCCGGGCGACGGUUGUCCCGGUUUAAGCGUGUAGGCUGGUUUUCCAGGCAAAUCCGGAAAAUCAAGGCUGAGGCGUGAUGACGAGGCACUACGGUGCUGAAGCAACAAAUGCCCUGCUUCCAGGAAAAGCCUCUAAGCAUCAGGUAACAUCAAAUCGUACCCCAAACCGACACAGGUGGUCAGGUAGAGAAUACCAAGGCGCUUGAGAGAACUCGGGUGAAGGAACUAGGCAAAAUGGUGCCGUAACUUCGGGAGAAGGCACGC
rnacentral:rRNA from 1 species